AAACUUUGGGAGAGUCUGUUCAACAUAAAUGAUGUGGUACACCCAGGGCGAGGCUCUGCCAUUACACUUGGGUGGUGCUGACCCUUGCAAAUUCCCCAAAUGCGGGAAUCUCGACUGCAUACUUUCUGGUAGUGGGGGACUUCAUUCACGCUGUCCCCUG
ensembl:snRNA U1 U1 spliceosomal RNA